UCUGUUGUUGGCAGUUGUGAGCACCUUCUUCUCCAUAUUUGUGCUUGUUCAGAAUUGUUGGCUAGAAACACCUGAACAUUCAUUUUGGAGUACUCCAAUAGCAGUAGUAAAUAUCACCAUUUCGAUUCAAAUUCAGUUGACAAUAACUUGUUCACAUUACUGCCAAAUAUUGAUAGAGUUGUUGCCAAAUUCAGGUUGAUGAGAUGAAUGUGGGCAUCAACAGACCUCAGCAGCAGCUCCAGGAAUAGCCUUCACCUGGGUGUGCCGUGUGCAGCACCACCACCACUAGUAGCAGCAGCUCUAGGAUAAGGCCUAGAGGUGGAGUGGAGGAGUGCCGUGUGCAGCAGCAGCACCACCAGUAGUAGCAGCAGCUCGGGAGAGGAGGAUCGCCUGGGCCUAGAAGUGGAGGCGCUUGGACCUAGGUGCAGUCUUGGAGGUGGAGGCGCCAGGAUCUGGGUG
rnacentral:lncRNA from 1 species